rnacentral:rRNA from 1 species
UACGUAGGUCCCGAGCGUUGUCCGGAUUUAUUGGGCGUAAAGCGAGCGCAGGUGGUUUAUUAAGUCUGGUGUAAAAGGCAGUGGCUCAACCAUUGUAUGCAUUGGAAACUGGGAGACUUGAGUGCAGAAGAGGAGAGUGGAACUCCAUGUGUAGCGGUGAAAUGCGUAGAUAUAUGGAAGAACACCAGUGGCGAAAGCGGCUCUCUGGUCUGUAACUGACGCUGGGGUUCGAAAGCGUGGGUAGCAAACAGG